GUCUGGGUGGUGUAGUUGGUUAUCACGCUAGUCUCACACACUAGAGGUCCGUAGUUCGAACCUGGGCUCAGACA